CACCUUUUUAGAUCAAUGUCAUUUUUUGGUAAUAUUUCUUUUCAGCUUGCAAAGUCUAUAAAUCUCACAAUUGCUUUUAAAACUACAAACAGUUUAAAACACCGGUAUGAACGUUGAAUGUGGCGGGGCGGAAUAGUCUGCCACCCAAGAUGGCCGAUUGAUUCUGAUUGUCUAAUUUUUGACGUACAUCAAAUAUGACAAUAGUGACGUUAAUGACAUUUUAACUGUCGUAUUUGACGAUUGUCUUUUUUAAGUUUUCUUUGGGUGGAAAACAAGCCAAGCCUCAUGAUUAUCUCCCAAUUUAAAGUUUUUAAGUAAAUUAAUAGCUUUUUGUAUUUUUUUUGAGUCCUGGGUUGAUAAAUUAUUUUACAAACGUGCCAACAUCGAAUCAUCGUGCAACUACAUAGAGCAGGAGACAGGUCUACACGUCACCAUCUCUACUUUGGAGUCGACCAAGCGCCCAGUUGUUUUACAAGCAAUUUUAGAUAAACUCACUGCAUAUACCUCCACCGAAUUUUCAUCAGGUUUCGUACAGUCCGAUUAAUCGUUAAAAUGAACGUUCGAUACACUAACCGAUCUAACUCCGGACUAUUCUACCGACUGCGCCAUUUAACUAACUUAAUAACCAAAACGCCUUUUAAAAAAAAUAUUAUUUUAUUUGAAAAUUAAUUAAUACAAAAUUACAUGCUAAUUGUCUUAGGCAAUUUAACAGUCUGGCAAAUAUUUUUGUGUGUUAUGGAAUUUGGUAGUAUAUCAUCAUGACGAAUUACAUUGAAACAAUGGCAUUUAGAUGCCUCAGAGAAAACUUUAUUGAUUGCCUAUGAUUCUGCAAAAGGGAACAAUGGAUUUCAUUAAUUGAAAUCAACACAAUUAAAAAGAACAUAUUUGUUUGUUGAGAUCACAUCCUUAGAAGUGAUUCCUUAUAUAAGGGAGAUAAUAUUAUCAGUAGCCAGACUUUAUUAAAAAAAUCAGCUCUACCUCAAAGGUUUUCCGACGCACUGGUUAAAAACACAGCAACCGAUAAUUCAGUUAAUUUACCAAGUGAUUUACCCUUCAAAGCUGCAGGGGUAGCUGUCCUGAAGAGUGCAAAAACUUCUUUAGCUUCCAAAACGGUAUAUAGGACAAACAGUGAAGCUAAUAUAGACAAAACUGAUCAUUCAUCAUUUCAUCAUCAACAAUAACUGCAUCUGAGAUUAAUAGUUCUACAGUAACCAUGGGGUCUAGGUCAACAAUUACUAUUUCUCAUCCCAGCCGUUUUCGUUUAACUGCUACACCUUUCCUGAUUCUGCCAAGGAAAAGGGUAAAAUCAAAAUGAUAUCCUGGGGACCUAAGCACUGAUGAUUCCACUGUUUCAAAAGCUAAAGUUAGUUGUCAAAUUAUGGAAAAAAAAGAACAAAAAAUUGAAAUUCGAAGAUUGCAACAAAUUUGCGCCAAACAAAUCGAAUUAGAUGUCUCGAUGUCAUUAUUUAAAUAUUUAAAUAAUGACUAUAUAAAGAAAUAAUAACAUGAUUUUCGAAAAAGUGAUGUAAA